rnacentral:misc_RNA from 1 species
GAUGAAGAACGCAGCGAAAUGCGAUAAGUAAUGUGAAUUGCAGAAUUCCGUGAAUCGUCGAAUCUUUGAACGCACAUUGCGCCCUCUGGUAUUCCGGGGGGCAUGCCUGUCCGAGCGUCAUUUGCAACCCUCAAGCCCGGCUUGUGUGAUGGGUGCCGUCCCCUACGGGACGCGCCCCGAAGGCAAUGGCGGCGUCGCGGUUAUCCGAUCAGCCAAAGUGUAUGGGGCUUUGUCACUCACUUUACGGCCCGGACCGGCGCCAGUCCGAAUCAAUCUUUUUUCUAAAGUUGACCUCGGAUCAGGUAGGGAUACCCGCUGAACUUAAGCAUAUCAAUAAGCGGAGGA